rnacentral:lncRNA from 1 species
GAGCAGAGUAUACCGCAGACAUCAUUUCUACUACAGUGGCGGAGCCGUACAGGACCUGUUUCACUGCAGGGGGAUCCAAAACAAGCCCCGUGGAGCAGCAGCCAGAGCAACAGCAGCCGCAAGACAUUGUUUCUCUCCCUCUGCCCCCCCUUCCCCACGCAACCCCAGAUCCAUUUACACUUUACAGUCACAGAACAGAAAGUGCUGGUGGACAUCUCUUCUUGCCCUAAGAUCUUCGUUGGAAGUCCUCGGGACUUGGUGUCUUUGCCGUUCAAAGUGUUUAUGAACUCGCCAGGAGGCAUAAUGUGUCACCAUUUUAUUCUGGGCCACCCUAAAGGAUGACACCCAGCUUCAGAGACCUCCUCUUGGACGACAUCCCUGAGAACCAAUGUUUUAGCCGUCCCAUAGUCUGACGUCUGUUUCCGACUGCUUUUGAGCUGGCGCAGGCUUAGUCAUUAAUGGCCAGGACGAUGUUAAAUGUUCUGCCUGAUUGGCUUGCAGCUACACACCUUUUGUCAUUUGUAGAGCAGCAACUCCCUCUUGAGCUCUUGGGGAGUCUUUACACAAAUACACUAGAAAAAAGGCACCCAUCCAUUUUUUUCCAUCUUGGCAUUAGCUCACAGGCAUAGUCCUGGGAUGACCUGGAGUAGAGGCAGUGGAGGAUAAAUUCAUCUUGCACAGACUUGUUUGUGCUAGUUCUAGCCUGUCUCUCGCCACAGAUCUAGCUUUUAAAUACUCAAGUGAUUGGUUUUGUGUAGGAAUGUGUGGAUUGUUGGAUUGGAAGAAUUUUCUCCCUGGAUUUCGAGUGUUUACAUAAGCAGAUAUAAAAAAAAUUUGAUCACUGAUUUAAAUAGCAGAGCUUAUUUUAAAAAGUUAUGGGUAUUUCAAGGUGGUACAGAAUAAAAAUGUCAGGUUUUUUU